AGAAACACUGGAGAGUUCAGUGUUUGUCCCUCUGUUGGUGUUUCUGCCUCAGUUUCUCAUUAUAGGAGCUGUAUGGAUCUGGUUUUUCAUCAGCAUGAAUAAAUUGAACUCAUCUAAAAACAAAACUGAUGACAAAGAAAUAGAGGCCACUUUACACUGAUCCAACUCCAACAAACUCCAAUAUUAUGAAGUCUCAUUUAUUGAUCCAACAAUUGCCAACACGGGCAUUUGUUGGCGUUUGUUGGAUGACAUCAUCACCUAGCAACAGUCUCUCAGCAUUGACACCAUUGACAUUAUAUAUUAAUAAAAAUUGAAUGUGUAUAUAAUAAAAUGUUCAAAUUAGGGCUGGUAAUUGAAUGCGUUAAUCAGUAUUGUGUCAGUGUAGGUUAAACUGUAACAUCAGUCAAUUGAAAUAGAUCUAUAAAACAAUGAGAUGAGUGAUA